rnacentral:misc_RNA from 1 species
AACUUUCAGCAACGUGUCACUUGGUUCUCGCAUCGAUUAAGAACGCAGCGAAAUGCGAUAAGUAAUGUGAAUUGCAGAAUUCAGUGAAUCAUCGAAUCUUUGAACGCACCUGGCGCUCCUUGGUAUUCCGAGGAGCAUGCCUGUUUGAGUGUCGUUAAAUUCUCAACUUCUUCAGUUUUUCUGAUGAAGCUUGGUUGUGGGAGUGUGUGGGCUUUUAAGAAGUCGACUCUCCUGAAAUGCAUUAGUGAGACCAUUGUUGACUGACUGCCUCUGGUGUGAUAAUUAUCUACGCCACAGUUGGUUAACUAAUAUAUGGUUUUGCUCAUAACUGAGUGAAUGUUCUUUAUGGACAACUCUUGACAAUUUGACCUCAAAUCAGGUAGGACUACCCGCUGAACUUAAGCAUAUCAAAAGCGGAGGCU